UUGUGUUUUGCCUAUAGUGCCGCACUCUAAACUUUAUCGAUAAAACGCCGCGAGCCGAUUACGUGUUUACGAAUUCGGCUAAUCUCAAUGCCCCAGAGCUCCUCGGGGCUAUUUAGGAUGUGAGCGCCAAAGUACUUCAACCUUAGCGUUGCAAACGCUGGGCACCUAAGAAGGUAUUGUUGAGCACAGUAUACCAGUAGAAAAGGUUUUUGUUUUUGUAGCUGUUUCGUGGUGAAAGUCCUUUAUGGGGACCAAAUUUCCCCACAAGAAAUUGAGCGCAUGGUUGCUUUUGCGUCCCAAAAGAAUGAAUAUUAGAAAACAAUUAAAAAAAAGUCUAAGGUAAUACAAUUAUAUGCAACUAAAAAUAAUCACAAUAAUUUGCACUUAUGAGUUAAUGUGAUAAUCAUGUGUAAAAACUCUUUUCAACUAUUAUUUUUCACAAAAUAAUUUGGCGGAUCAGUUUGCUCUGAGCGCUUGUGUUGUUUACCAAGAAAAUGCAGCCCUGUUGGUUUUUAUUUCUGUAUCGCAUCGCGGUGAGUUUCUAUUUCUUGGUAAUUCGGUUUGUGAAAUGACUAUUAAUUACAAGCACUGCAUCAUCAACGGUGAUUGCAAGAACUACUGCAAUCCCUGCGGUUUUUCCUCUUGGUAAAUGCGUUCAGGUCGUGAUCAAGGGUGGUCUCCCAAAUCGGCCGGGAAUAAGGCUAUUGUUGUAGAACAAAACGCCGCAACCACUGCUGUGGUAAAUAUGUUCCAGCAGAACUGCCCACCGCCGUCGGUGUAAUGAUUUCGAUAGCUGAACAAACGCCAUCUCCUGGGCAUUCCCACAGCUUGCCGACACUAGCUAUUGUAUCACGUGUGAAUGCAACUGCGGCUUGAUUUGGUUAUUAACAGUGCAGUCGUACCAUGUCAUUGGCAAAAACACUAAGGGCUGCUGCCACAUAUAGGUUGUAAAGUUUUUGGUAUCGAUGAACAUACUCGAAGAAGACGAUGGCCGAAAACAUAUGAUGAAACAUCUUCUGGCAUGCCUUUGACAAUCGUUAAGUCAGACGAAGGCUUCACAUACGAUAUUUCACACAUGGCUGGAAUUCGUUAGCGGACAGAGCACACAUUUACAAAAUAUUUAUCGUUCAGCAGAACGUGCAUGCAUAUUCGAUUCCGAUUUUAUGGGUCAACUACGGAGGACAACCGAACUUCAGUUGGUUGGCCAGUGGCUGAAAUGGUAUUACCGAUGGCAACUAGCAACUGAAAGCUGGCAACUAAGUUGCUAUAUUGGCAAGUGCGUUUUUGUGGCUGCCGGGAAUUUUUGAUUGAGAUACUUUAUUUCUUUUUUCAACUUUUUUUUAAAUUGUACCACCUUGAACUUUAUGAAACUUAAUUAUUGCUAUUCAUGAUAAAAAACAUUUUCAUUUCAGUGGCGCUGUCCAUCGGCAACCCAACUGAGGUUCCGUCCCCAUCCAUAAUCGAUCCAUAAGUCAUAAUCGCACGAACUAAUCAAGGCUAUCAUAGAAUCCAUCGUAGUCUGAUUUUUCGUGAAAUCUACGAAAAUGCUAUUAAGUUCGAGUAGCUACGAACGCAGCGCUUGCUUUGAAUACACGCAGCAGUUCAGAUUCAGUGAUCGCUUUUUCGUAGAUUUUAAGAAAAAUUGUACUACGAUGGAUUCCGUCACCAAUAUGUUUUCUCCUUUGACAAGAUGUUUGAGAAUCGCGGCAGCACAGCCCUAUUCCUACUCUAUGCUCUUACGCGCAUAUGCUCAAUUUCUCGCACCUAGCUUAAGUGCUUGACAAAGGCAGAAGGCAUAUCUUCAACAUUAUAACUUAAAGUAAAAAAGUUUAAGGCAUGCAAUAAAAGAAU